CGCAAGACCUCGCGCGACUGGAGCGGCCGAUAUCAGAUUAGGUAAUUGGUGAGGUAAAGGCUCACCAAGCCGACGAUCUGUAGCUGGUCUGAGAGGACGACCAGCCACACUGGGACUGAGACACGGCCCAGACUCCUACGGGAGGCAGCAGUGGGGAAUUUUGGACAAUGGGCGCAAGCCUGAUCCAGCCAUGCCGCGUGCGGGAAGAAGGCCUUCGGGUUGUAAACCGCUUUUGUCAGGGAAGAAAAGGUUCUGGCUAAUACCUGGGACUCAUGACGGUACCUGAAGAAUAAGCACCGGCUAACUACGUGCCAGCAGCCGCGGUAAUACGUAGGGUGCAAGCGUUAAUCGGAAUUACUGGGCGUAAAGCGUGCGCAGGCGGUUAUGCAAGACAGAGGUGAAAUCCCCGGGCUCAACCUGGGAACUGCCUUUGUGACUGCAUGGCUAGAGUGCGGUAGAGGGGGAUGGAAUUCCGCGUGUAGCAGUGAAAUGCGUAGAUAUGCGGAGGAACACCGAUGGCGAAGGCAAUCC
rnacentral:rRNA from 1 species